rnacentral:lncRNA from 1 species
GUGAAUCAUCAGUCUCUGUAAGCUUUCUGGCAAUCAUUAAUUUCUGUCUGUCUUUUAAUAUCUUCUUUUAUAUUUUCUUCUGUUUAUGCCAAACUAUGAGACUAAAACAAGAUUGUUGAUUUUUUUUCUCCAUUUGCAGCAAGUUUUGGCCCCUGUUCUUUCUCCAAUUUGCAGAAUUUUUGCUCUGCUGAAGGUGGGUUGGGCAAGUAACAAAGCGUCUGGUCUGUUGAUGUUUUCUAUUUUUUUUGGUACUCAAGAACACUCGCAAGGUCUUCUCUGAGUACCACAAUGUGCCUAUGGACACUCACAAGGUGUUCACAGCACUUGUACAGUGGGGUUCUUGCAGAAGCCCAUCUGUAAUUCACAACAGAGAGGUCCUUGUGAGAGCUCUCUUUGUGUGAGUAGCACAGCUAUUGCCAAUUUGGGAGGAUUUGUUUGUAUUUUUCCACUGCUGAAGCCUCUGUUGAUAUGAUACAUUUCUUGAUAUCAAACAUGGAGGAAGUUCAAACUUCUGUACGAUGGCCUCACAUACAUAUUUUUUUUGCCUGCAAGUCAGUUGUACAUAAAAG